UGUAUCUAUCUUAUUCCUGGCUAUUUGAUAGCUGGAGAAUUGAGAUGAAGGGGAUUGUAUGAUCUCUCCUACAACUGUUAGAAAGCAAGUGGCAAACCUAGAACCCUAAAUCCAGACAUAGGAACCUGCCUCUGUUAAAAACAUAGAUUGUGCAAGUAAAGAAAGUCAGUUUGACUCCAUCAGCUGUCUGAUCUUGGAUGAGUGACAUCACAUCUCUACCACAGUUGCCCCUGUAUCUAUCUUAUUCCUUAUUAUUAGGCUUAAGCCACCUGAUUUGUAUAAAAGACAUAAUGCAGAGCUAGCACAACCUGACGUGGAGGUUAACCAUUAAUGUUAAGACUAUUAAUCUCCACUGUUGGUUUUAGCACGGUUACUUGGGCUUAGUAUGAUGAGAUUCAAAAGUGAAUGGAGGAAAAGCUCUCCUCUACAUUUCCAAAGAAAAUAGAUGUUUACAUAAUAGGAUGGUGGGAUAGAGAUUUACCAAGUGGCAAAAACACUUGCAUAGAAAGCACAGGUAAAGAAAUCCUCAGUUCAGUUCUUGAGCCUGGGGGGAAAAAAAGACAAAAUGACAGAAGACUAAAAACAGAAGAUUGUAAUCUGCUUUCGAGGCGAAAUAAAAUGCGUAAGAUACAUAAUCACAGCUGAAAUAUUUUAUUCAUUCCCUUAAAACUGGAAAUUAAUGUUUACUAAAUAAAUGUUAGCAUUUACCAGCUGAAUAUUUUGCUUCUCAGUUCUCCAUUUAAUUUGCACCAGUUAUAUAUCACACAGUGGAUGGCAAAGUCAAAGAGAUGUACAUUCAAGUCAUAGUCUGGCCAUCCUUGCAUUUUGGCACUGUGCCUUCUCUGAGAUUUAGUUUUAGUACAUAAAACAGUGUGUGUGUGUGUGUGUGUGUGUGUGUGUGUGUGUGUGUGUGUGUCUGUGUCUGUUGUGUGUGUGUGUCUGUCUGUGUGUGUGUGUCUGUGUAUAUCUGUGUGUGGGGGCAAGCACAUGUGUUUAUCUGUAUACACAUGUGUAAGUAUGUGCAUGUGUGUGCAUAAGUGUAUACAUAUGGGUGUGUGCUUAUGUGCAUGAGUAUAUGUGCAUACAUAGAUAUAUUAUCCAAUGUUUAAAAUCUGUUGUGAAAACUGAAGAUUACGAUACAAACAACCAAAUAAAAUGAUUUGGAAAAUCAGAGCUUCUUGUCAUUGUAUAAACCUUGUUUUCAACUAUUCCCCUCACAUACCUCAUCUGCACUCACCUCGAACUUCCAAGAUGUAUCUGUCUUGAAAUUUUAUAGAAUUUUCAUGGAGAAAUUUUAAAAAUAAAGCAAGAAAGGUUGCUAUGACUUUCAGCUCCAUAUGCUACAUGUCACCCUUCUGGACUGCUCUAACCCAGCAUUCCUUAAAGCUCCUGGCACGAACUGAGGGAAGCCACUGGGGUUUUGAUGUUUUGAACCUUUAUUUUUCAGUGUUUGUUUCUAUUAUGACCUUCAUGUGGUUUCUCUUCCCUGGUUCCACCUUGACUGUGACCAGAAUAUAUAAUUCUAAAAUUUCUCCCAUCUUUGGGAUGUAUUCUGAAUUGAACAUAUACAAUAGACACAAGUUUGGGUUAUUGUAUUAACAUUGAAAGAACAGCCUUUCUCCCUAAGUUUAUCACCAGAAUGCUGUCAUUCUAUUUGUCUGGUUGCUAGUCCCUCUGACAUCCAUUGGUUAAAUCCAAGAUCAGCAAUAAAGCACCAUUUUCCAAAUCUUUAAGAGAAACCAAUAAUCUUCUUGCCAAAUGGGAUUUGUUGCCAUUUUCAAUACAACCUUAUAGGAUCUUCUUGAAAUUCUUAGGCCCACAGUGUGCAGGAGGUAUUUCUUAUUUAAAUGAGCAUCAGUAACAGAAUCAUAGAUAGUUAUCUCAAAACUAGCAGGAAGGGCUAAAAAAUGGGAAAUGAUAAGAAAAAUCGGGGAGCUAUAAAGACUCAUGUCCUCCCAUGGGCUUAUCCUGUUUUAAUCUUACUAUUUAGAAACAUGUACUUUCAUCAAGAUAAAGUGAGUUUGAAGGAAGAACUUAUAUUGAAAUCAAUUUUUUGGACAUCUACAUCCUCUAGAUCAGUAUCUAGUACAUAAAAAUAGUGAUUUCCUUGGUAGGUGACUUGUGAGGCUUGAAAUACUUCACGGCAUUUCAUCUUGCAAUCAUCCUAUAAAGUAGAAGCUAAAAACUAUUUUCUAGAAAGGCACCUGAGAUUUAGACAAUUUGAGUAACUUCCCCAAUCACACAAACACACCAGUAGUAGAAAAGCAUUGUAUCCCAGAUCUUACAGCCCCAAACAGCAAGCUCUUUCCUUUGUACCUAUACCUUCCCUGUGUGAUUUCUAAAUGUACUAAAGAAAUGCUAGCUGAAUGAAUAGAUACACUAGU
rnacentral:lncRNA from 1 species